AGCGAACGCUGGCGGCAGGCUUAACACAUGCAAGUCGAACGCAUCCUUCGGGGUGAGUGGCAGACGGGUGGGUAACGCGUGGGAACAUGCCCUUUGGUUCGGAAUAACUCAGGGAAACUUGAGCUAAUACCGGAUAAGCCCUUUUGGGGAAAGAUUUAUCGCCGAAGGAUUGGCCCGCGUCCGAUUAGCUAGUUGGUGAGGUAAUGGCUCACCAAGGCGACGAUCGGUAGCUGGUCUGAGAGGAUGAUCAGCCACACUGGGACUGAGACACGGCCCAGACUCCUACGGGAGGCAGCAGUGGGGAAUAUUGGACAAUGGGGGCAACCUUGAUCCAGCCAUGCCGCGUGAGUGAUGAAGGCCCUAGGGUUGUAAAGCUCUUUCGGCGGGGACGAUAAUGACGGUACCCGCAGAAGAAGCCCCGGCUAACUUCGUGCCAGCAGCCGCCGUAA
rnacentral:rRNA from 1 species